rnacentral:rRNA from 1 species
GAUGAACGCUAGCGACAGGCUUAACACAUGCAAGUCGAGGGGCAGCGAGGGAGUGCUUGCACUUCUGUCGGCGACCGGCGCACGGGUGAGUAACACGUAUGCAACCUGCCCUUGUCAGGGGGAUAAGCGAGGGAAACCUCGUCUAAUACCGCAUAUAUGGUUUUGAGGCAUCUCUUAAUCAGGAAAGAAUUAUCGGACAAGGAUGGGCAUGCGGGACAUUAGGUAGUUGGUGGGGUAACGGCCUACCAAAGGCUGCGAUGCAUAGCCGACCUGAGAGGGUGAUCGGCCACACUGGGACUGAGAUACGGCCCAG